rnacentral:rRNA from 1 species
CGGCGUGCUUAACACAUGCAAGUCGAACGAUUAAAGCUCACUUCGGUGAGUGUAUAGAGUGGCGAACGGGUGAGUAACACGUGGGAAACCUGCCCCUUUCUUCGGGAUAACUUCGGGAAACCGUUGCUAAUACCGGAUACUCCGGGAUGGUCGCAUGGCCGACCCGGGAAAGCUUUAUGUGGAAAGGGAUGGUCCCGCGGCCCAUUAGCUUGUUGGUGGGGUAAUGGCCUACCAAGGCGAUGAUGGGUAGCCGAGCUGAGAGGCUGAUCGGCCACACUGGGACUGAGACACGGCCCAGACUNCUACGGGAGGCAGCAGUGGGGAAUUUUGCGCAAUGGGCGAAAGCCUGACGCAGCAACGCCGCGUGCGGGAUGAAGGCCCUCGGGUUGUAAACCGCUUUCAGCAGGGAAGAAAAUGACGGUACCUGCAGAAGAAGCCCCGGCUA